UACGUAGGGGGCAAACGUUGCUCGGAAUCACUGGGCGUAAAGGGUGUGUAGGUGGCUGAGCAAGUCAAGGAUGAAAUCCCGAGGCUCAACCUCGGAAUUGUUCUUGAAACUGCUCAGCUUGAGGAUAGUUGAGGAAAACGGAAUUCCCGGUGGAGCGGUGAAAUGCGUAGAUAUCGGGAGGAACACCAGAGGCGAAGGCGGUUUUCUAAACUAUUCCUGACACUGAGACACGAAAGCUAGGGGAGCAAACGGGAUUAGAUACCCCCGUA
rnacentral:rRNA from 1 species